rnacentral:rRNA from 1 species
AUUGAACGCUGGCGGCAUGCUUUACGCAUGCAAGUCGAACGGUAACAGGCCGCAAGGUGCUGACGAGUGGCGAACGGGUGAGUAAUGCAUCGGAACGUGCCCAGUCGUGGGGGAUAACUACUCGAAAGAGUAGCUAAUACCGCAUACGAUCUAUGGAUGAAAGCGGGGGACCGUAAGGCCUCGCGCGAUUGGAGCGGCCGAUGUCAGAUUAGGUAGUUGGUGGGGUAAAGGCUCACCAAGCCAACGAUCUGUAGCUGGUCUGAGAGGACGACCAGCCACACUGGGGCUGAGACACGGCCCAGACUCCUACGGGAGGCAGCAGUGGGGAAUUUUGGACAAUGGGCGCAAGCCUGAUCCAGCAAUGCCGCGUGCAGGAAGAAGGCCUUCGGGUUGUAAACUGCUUUUGUACGGAACGAAACGGCUCUGGUUAAUACCCGGGGCUAAUGACGGUACCGUAAGAAUAAGCACCGGCUAACUACGUG